rnacentral:rRNA from 1 species
UACGAAGGGGGCUAGCGUUGCUCGGAAUUACUGGGCGUAAAGCGCACGUAGGCGGAUUGUUAAGUCGGGGGUGAAAUCCUGGAGCUCAACUCCAGAACUGCCUUCGAUACUGGCGAUCUCGAGUUCGGGAGAGGUGAGUGGAACUGCGAGUGUAGAGGUGAAAUUCGUAGAUAUUCGCAAGAACACCAGUGGCGAAGGGCGGCUCACUGGCCCGAUACUGACGCUGAGGUGCGAAAGCGUGGGGAGCAAACAGG